CUAGUGGCGGACGGGUGAGUAACGCGUGAGAAUCUGGCUUCAGGUCGGGGAUAACUACUGGAAACGGUAGCUAAUACCGGAUAUGCCGAGAGGUGAAAGAUUAAUUGCCUGAAGAUGAGCUCGCGUCUGAUUAGCUAGUUGGUGGGGUAAGGGCCUACCAAGGCAACGAUCAGUAGCUGGUUUGAGAGGACAAUCAGCCACACUGGGACCGAGACACGGCCCAGACUCCUACGGGAGGCAGCAGUGGGGAAUUUUCCGCAAUGGGCGAAAGCCUGACGGAGCAAUACCGCGUGAGGGAAGAAGGUCUGUGGGUCGUAAACCUCUUUUCUCUGGGAAGAAUAGAUGACGGUACCAGAGGAAUCAGCAUCGGCUAACUCCGUGCCAGCAGUCGCGGUAAGACGGAGGAUGCAAGCGUUAUCCGGAAUUAUUGGGCGUAAAGCGUCCGCAGGUGGUUAAUCAAGUCUGCUUUCAAAGAGUGGGGCUUAACUCCAUAGAGGGAGUGGAAACUGAUUAACUAGAGGGCAGUAGAGGUAGGAGGAAUUCCCAGUGUAGCGGUGAAAUGCGUAGAUAUUGGGAAGAACACCAGCAGCGAAGGCGUCCUACUGGGCUGCACCUGACACUCAUGGACGAAAGCUAGGGGAGCGAAUGGGAUUAGAUACCCCAGUAGUCCUAGCCGUAAACGAUGGACACUAGGUGUUGC
rnacentral:rRNA from 1 species